rnacentral:rRNA from 1 species
GACGAACGCUGGCGGCGUGCUUAACACACGCAAGUCGAACGGAAAGUCCCUUCUUUUGUGGGGUGCUCUAGUUGCGACCGGGUGAGUAACACGUGAGUAACCUGCCCUUGACUUUGGGAUAACUUCAGGAAACUGGGUCUAAUACCGGAUAGGAGCUCCUGCUUCAUGGUGGGGGUUGGAUAGUUUCGGCGGUUGGUGAUGGAAUCGCGGCCUAUCAGCUUGUUGGUGGGGUAGUGGAUUACCAAGGCUUUGACGGGUAGCCGGCCUGAGAGGGUGACCGGACACAUUGGAACUGAGAUAAGGCCCAGACUCCUACGGGAGGCAGCAGUGGGGAAUAUUACACAAUGGGCGGAAGCAUGAUGCAGCAAAGCCGCGUGCGGGAUGACGGCAUGCGGGUUGUAAACCGAAUUCGCCUGUGACGAAGCGUGAGUGACGGUAAUGGGUAAAGAAGCACCGGCUAACUACGUG